AAAAGUCGCUGCCAAAAACUGAUUGCGGCUUGUAUCUUGCUACACGAAUGUUGUUUGUGGCUCAAGAUGACUUUAUGUCAUCCAUAAGGGAUGCAUUUGACAUAUGUUUCACAUAUUAUAGCCCAACAAGUUACUUAUAGCACUUUAAAUAUGAGCAAUCGCUUUUUGGCAAAUACCGGAAAUCAGUUUUUGGCAGACAAUCACUUUUUGGCACAACACCGGUACUAGUUUUAUUUUGUUGUAUUUAUCCGCGACACUUUAAAGGCCAGUCCGUGAAAAUAUUGUCGGGCAUAAACGGUUCCGUGGCGCAAAAAAGGUUGGGGACCGCUGCUGUAAAGGACUAUUCAAAGAUUCUGACCAAGUUCAGGUUUGUUGGAGUUCUGUCUCACAUAAUUCUGUUCAUUACAUCCAAAUAUUCCACAGUGCUCGAUUCCUCAGUGUGAACUCUGGCACAACGCAUAUGCGAGUGGACCACAUUGCACGGUCAAAAAGUAAGUGUCCCGCUCCUUUCAAAUCAGAAGUGCUUUCGUCCAACAGUGUGCCAUUUUGCAGAUAUUCCGGCUUACUGCAAAAGGAAGUCAUAAAACACCAGAAAACACACAUUACACAUCCCAGUUUUUGUACAGUAUCCUUAGUAUCAGGGGAGCAGUGGUUACCACCAUUGCCUCACAGCAAGACAGUUCUGGAUUUCGAUCCAGCUGCUGCUCGUUAGCUUUUUUUUUUUUUUUUUUUUAAAUUAUAUUGCUGGUAGUUCUAAAUUGGUAAAUGAGCCUUAGCCCUGUGAUUAGAGCGGUGUACCCCGACUCUUGCCCUGUGCUAGAGAUAUGUUCCAUUCACCGUGCAACCCUGAAUUAGACAAGCUGAACAUAAUGGCUCGAUUGAUAUCCUUCACCUAUUAAAUAAUUCAUCUUCUACAGUGAAGGUGAACCUUCAAAAUAUGUGGUUGGUUUCUAACACAUGAGACAAAAUUCCAUAUUAAAGCUUCAAGGAUAGGCCUUUGUUUUUAGCAUCCAAAUAUUCUUUAGGUCCCUCUAUCAAAAAUGUUUGCAUGAUCAAAGUUCAAAAAACACACCACUGGAACAAGUUCAGUAACAUCCAUUCAUUCUCUGCACUCACCUAAAUCCCUCAUACAGGUUUGAGGUUUCACAGCCUUGUUACGACUUUAAAGCUAAUGUGCAGUUAUAAGAGAUAACUAGCUUACCUGAUUAUUUUGAUUCAACCAUUUUUCGACACAAUGAGUUUUAUAGAAAUUGCACUAAUCACUCUUUCUCUGUUGCUGGCAUUAAACGUCGACUGCUCCAGGUCUUCAUGGUUAUUCAAAGCAGGUGGCUGAGUUGUUUGAAAUACAGAGGCUAAUGGACCAAACCAUUUGUUGUGAUACCUGUGGGGUUCAUGGAUUUUCU
ensembl:lncRNA